rnacentral:rRNA from 1 species
CCUACGGGAGGCAGCAGUGGGGAAUAUUGGACAAUGGGGGAAACCCUGAUCCAGCAAUGCCGCGUGAGUGAUGAAGGCCUUAGGGUUGUAAAGCUCUUUUACCAGGGAUGAUAAUGACAGUACCUGGAGAAUAAGCUCCGGCUAACUCCGUGCCAGCAGCCGCGGUAAUACGGAGGGAGCUAGCGUUGUUCGGAAUUACUGGGCGUAAAGCGCACGUAGGCGGUUACUCAAGUCAGAGGUGAAAGCCCGGGGCUCAACCCCGGAACUGCCUUUGAAACUAGGUAACUAGAAUCCUGGAGAGGUGAGUGGAAUUCCGAGUGUAGAGGUGAGAUUCGUAGAUAUUCGGAAGAACACCAGUGGCGAAGGCGGCUCACUGGACAGGUAUUGACGCUGAGGUGCAAAAGCGUGGGGAGCAAACAGGAUUAGAUACCCUGGUAGUCCACGCCGUAAACGAUGAUAACUAGCUGUCCGGGCACAUGGUGUUUGGGUGGCGCAGCUAACGCAUUAAGUUAUCCGCCUGGGGAGUACGGUCGCAAGAUUAAAACUCAAAGGAAUUGACGGCNGAGAGNGCGAGACGACGACGAGGAGAGG